CACGUAGGGGGCAAGCGUUGUCCGGAUUUAUUGGGCGUAAAGAGCUCGUAGGCGGUUCGGUAAGUCGGGUGUGAAACCUCCAGGCUCAACCUGGAGACGCCACCCGAUACUGCUGUGACUAGAGUGCGGUAGGGGAGACUGGAAUUCCUGGUGUAGCGGUGGAAUGCGCAGAUAUCAGGAGGAACACCGAUGGCGAAGGCAGGUCUCUGGGCCGCAACUGACGCUGAGGAGCGAAAGCAUGGGAGCGAACAGG
rnacentral:rRNA from 1 species